rnacentral:rRNA from 1 species
AUUGAACGCAGGCGGCAGGCCUAACACAUGCAAGUCGAGCGGAUGAGGAGAGCUUGCUCUCUGAUUCAGCGGCGGACGGGUGAGUAAUGCCUAGGAAUCUGCCUGGUAGUGGGGGACAACGUUUCGAAAGGAACGCUAAUACCGCAUACGUCCUACGGGAGAAAGUGGGGGAUCUUCGGACCUCACGCUAUCAGAUGAGCCUAGGUACGAUUAGCUAGUUGGUGAGGUAAAGGCUCACCAAGGCGACGAUCGUUAACUGGUCUGAGAGGACGAUCAGUCACACUGGAACUGAGACACGGUCCAGACUCCGACGGGAGGCAGCAGUGGGGAAUAUUGGACAAUGGGCGAAAGCCUGAUCCAGCCAUGCCGGGUGUGUGAAGAAGGUCUUCGGAUUGUAAAGCACUUUAAGUUGGGAGGAAGGGCAGUAAGUUAAUACCUUGCUGUUUUGACGUUACCGACAGAAUAAGCACCGGCUAACUUCGUGCCAGCCGCCGCCGUAACAC